AUUGAACGCUGGCGGCAUGCCUUACACAUGCAAGUCGAACGGCAGCACGGGUGCUUGCACCUGGUGGCGAGUGGCGAACGGGUGAGUAAUACAUCGGAACAUGUCCUGUAGUGGGGGAUAGCCCGGCGAAAGCCGGAUUAAUACCGCAUACGAUCUACGGAUGAAAGCGGGGGACCUUCGGGCCUCGCGCUAUAGGGUUGGCCGAUGGCUGAUUAGCUAGUUGGUGGGGUAAAGGCCUACCAAGGCGACGAUCAGUAGCUGGUCUGAGAGGACGACCAGCCACACUGGGACUGAGACACGGCCCAGACUCCUACGGGCGGCAGCAGUGGGGAAUUUUGGACAAUGGGCGAAAGCUUGAUCCAGCAAUGCCGCGUGUGUGAAGAAGGCCUUCGGGUUGUAAAGCACUUUUGUCCGGAAAGAAAUCCUUGGCCCUAAUACGGUCGGGGGAUGACGGUACCGGAAGAAUAAGCACCGGCUAACUACGUG
rnacentral:rRNA from 1 species